GGUGGUGGCGGCUCAGUGGUUAAGCCGUUGUCCUACUGAUCAGAAGGUUAUGAGUUCAAAUCCCAGCACCACCA